rnacentral:rRNA from 1 species
CCCGUCACAUCACGAAAGUGGGCUGCACUAGAAGCCGGUGUGCUAACCGCAAGGGAGCAGCCGUCCAAGGUAUGGCUCAUGAUUGGGGUG